AUCUCUAAUCCUCAUCUCCAUCGGCUACCGACGGAGAUAUAAUAUAUAGGAGUCUUUGUAACUGAAAGCCUGCAAGGCAGAUUGUGUGCAGGAAUGAAAUCUCCAAAUUGGUUAUGUGUUGGCUGUCCUCUUGCAAGUUUAAAUCCUCGUGGGGAUAAAUGCCAGUUUAAAUCCUCUUGGCAGAGUAUCUCAGUCUCUCUCUCUGCCCCUUGCUGUUACUUUUCUGAAUUUGUUGUGCAGUCUUGCAGGUCUAGGGUGAGGGCAGAGGCCGUUGCUGGAGUGCAGGCUCUUGCUGCUAUCUCUUUUGCUUUGGCUCGUUUCUGGCAGGUGCACAAUGGGGUACAGCCGGUCAAAUGCAGCCUUGCAGAGGAUCUGCCGCUGCUGAGCACAGCAGGGUUGCAGGGUGGCAGCCCUUCCUCCUUUCUUAUUUUGUAGCUGAUCUAUGGUGACGGGUGGGUGAGGAUUCGGCUGAUGGGGUGCAUUUCUCUGCCUUCGGUCGACAGCCGAUCGAAGGCACGGCGUGAUCGUGGCUCGGUUUGCUAGGCUAGGCGCUAGCUUGUUCCUUUUAACCACUUGUAUUCCUAUAUUGGUAACUUAGACGUCGUGAUGUAUGUAAUAACUUGGCUAGAAAUGAGAUUAUGUUUUUAUUUCUCCUCUUGUAUGAUUUCGAGCGUUUAACUCGUGAAGCAAUAAAGAG